UACGUAGGUGGCAAGCGUUGUCCGGAUUUACUGGGCGUAAAGCGCGCGCAGGCGGUUGUCUAAGUCCGGCGUGAAAGCUCCCGGCUCACCUGGGAGAGGGCGUUGGAGACUGGAUGACUGGAGGCAGGCAGAGGCCGGUGGAAUUCCUGGAGUAGUGGUGAAAUGCGUAGAGAUCAGGAGGAACACCCGUGGCGAAGGCGGCCGGCUGGGCCUGUCCUGACGCUGAGGCGCGAAAGCGUGGGGAGCGAACCGG
rnacentral:rRNA from 1 species